UGGGGAAUCUUGGACAAUGGGGGCAACCCUGAUCCAGCGAUGCCGCGUGAGCGAAGAAGGCCUUAGGGUUGUAAAGCUCUUUCGCCCGCGACGAUGAUGACGGUAGCGGGAGAAUAAGCCCCGGCUAACUCCGUGCCAGCAGCCGCGGUAAUACGGAGGGGGCUAGCGUUGUCCGGAAUUACUGGGCGUAAAGCGCGCGUAGGCGGUCCACCAAGUCGGGGGUGAAAGCCCGGGGCUCAACCCCGGAAUGUCCUCCGAGACUGUUGGACUGGAUUUCGGGGGAGGAGAGCGGAAUUCCCAGUGUAGAGGUGAAAUUCGUAGAUAUUGGGAAGAACACCGGUGGCGAAGGCGGCUCUCUGGCCCGCAACUGACGCCGAGGCGCGAAAGCGUGGGGAGCAAACA
rnacentral:rRNA from 1 species